rnacentral:piRNA from 1 species
CUAGUAAACUGAGCAUAAGGAAAACGC